rnacentral:lncRNA from 1 species
AAACAUCAUUGUUAAUUAGAAAUAAGUAAAACAUUACAAUACCUAAAAUAUAUUCAUAUUACAUCUCCUAAAAAACAGAACACAAUUGUAGUGAACGGACAAAUGGAAACAUUUUUUAAGAAUCCUCAGAAAAAAAAAAUGUUCUUGCACUUCAAUUUGUGCUUCAACCUUUUCCACAUUCCCUUCUCAAUUAGUAUUUAGUUCUCAACACCUGAGAGAGAGAGAGAUUGUAGAUGAGAAUACUUUGUUAACAUAUAUACGGUAUUUGUAGAAUAAGAGUCAUGAUCAACAUAGAGCCUUUAAUUAAUAUGACAAUGGUAGAAGAGAUUUUAAAAACACUGCGGUAAAAAAACAAAUUCUUCUUGAAUCAUGUAAUUAAUAGAAACUAUCAAAUUACCAUAUGGAAACAAUAUAUAUAGAAGUGUGAACUUACACAGACACAUGCAUAUGAUUAGACAACAUAUCGGUACCAUAUGAAUUUUGCAAUGAUUAGAGCACCAUAAAAUGCAACAAUUGUAAAUAAGUUACCUAAGCCUACAAGAUGGACAAAAAUUAUAACUAUCUUAAGCUCCUUGUAGAAAGAAGAUGAACAUCACUGCACUGCUAUUUUUGAUGUCACAGUGGAUAAUGCAAGUAUGUAAACCUUCAUGAAGACAUAGCAACCCUUUAGCAAUGCCAAUAAUUAUGUCAUGUCGCUGUUUCUAAUACAAAAAUAUUAGAGUCAGUACUAGCUUCUAGAACUACUAAACAUCUUUCUUCAGUUCAAAAUUCGGAAAGGUUAAAAACAUUCACCAAGUAAAGAGUUUAGUUUUUCUAUGACCACUAUGAGAAAGAUUGCUUGCCUGUUGACUUAUGUUAAAUUCUGGCUCAGAAUUACAAAUUGCUGCUGCUUAUAAGUUUUACACUAGAGAAGUUUACGUCCUCCAAUGUCCUCAAAUGAGGUUCCAAUGUUUUGAAGUUACGAGAAUCCGUGAGAAAUAUAAGGAGUUUCAAUAACAUAAUGUCAAAAAAUGGAACAAGCACCAGUUGUAUCCAAUUGUGCCUUCUAAGGUUGAUGAUACUAGAAUGAGCAAAAGGGGUAGGGUAGCAUCCGAGGGAAGGCACAAAAAAACUAAGUUAUUUAUUUUCAUCUGCCUAAGCCUUGGUGAACACAGUCACAUGAUACAUGUACGAUAUUACACAUACUGAGGUAAACACCAAAGUUAUCAAAAAAGAAUGACUGACAAAAAGAACAGCCACAAGUUUGUUGCUGGAUGUCGAGAGAAAAUUUAAACGUCAGGGACCUUCACUAAAGUUCAAGGUACAUUUGAAAUUAGAGUUUGUUAAGAAACUAAAAGUCAAAAACACAGUAAUACAAAUAUUGUGACAGUCUCUUGUGGUUUCUCAAACUGACACAGAGAUCAUCAAACUAGAUUUUGGAGAACAUAACUGAAAGAAUAAAUCUGUGGACCCAAUUUGAAAAUGAAAAUGCUUAUCCCAAAGCUUACUGGAAACUAAACAUCUUUAGUAUAUUUCGAAUAUCUCCUGAACUCUAAGAUAUUAAAACUGAUAAGAGCAUCCAUUACAGUUCGAUUUGUUUUAAUCUUUGGGUACUGAAAACCAAGGCGGAGCCAUAGUCGUGUUUACUAGUUUAGCAAAUCCUAGUAACUUUGGAUCAAACCUUGUUCUUGCAUUAAAAAUUUUAUCUAGUAUGUACGAAUAAUCUAUUCAAAACUCAGUAAACAAAUAUAAUUAUGACCCAGUAAAAAGUAAUAGAAAUUCACUAUUAAACCAAGAGAUGAUGCACAUAUUAUCAGGCUCGAAUCAUGAUACCUUUGAAAUUAUUUUAGUUCAAGGAGAAAGUGGCAGGUACACCAUUUGAUUCCAGGUGGAAGGAAAUUGUCAGGUCCAAAAAUGAAAUGUGAAUGUAUCUGCAACUGCCGAGAUCCAUGCAUCAAAAUUAAUUGAUAUUUACUCAAAAAAAAAAGUAUAAAUAGUAACUGAUAACCAGUAAUUAUCCACAAUGUGAAACAACAAGAGAGUAAUUUUGAUAGGAAAAAUCCAAUGAUAAGUAGAAUGAUCAACAGCAAAGGAAACAUGGUAAGAAUAAAUACAAAUUUGUUAGGUAGCUGGGAAAUUCUAUUCUGAAGCAAAGUUGGAUAACUGAAAAUGAAAAAGACAAAGAAAUUCCAAAAAGGAGAACCACUAUGAAGUUCAUUCCUAAGAACAAUAUGAACACUAAUAACAACACCAAAGAAGCUGAUAACGAGGAGAUAGACAAUAGUAAUAGGAAGGCGUAUUAGUUACGAAGAAAAUCAAUAGCAUUACUGAUCCUUGUAUGUCUAAUGAUAUGGAAUAUAACAUGGCAAGGGUUCAAGACAAAAAACAUAACGACAAUGAGGAUAAGAAUUAUUUAUUAACAGUUAAUCUGUUUGUAUACCUUUAGCAAUCAAAUAUAGUUGAGGCAUCGACUUGGUUGUGGAUAUGAACCACAAUAUUAUACCGACAAUUAUAAGCUUUAAGAUUACCUAAAGCUAGAAGCGACAGCCUAUAUAGGUAAUCUUCCGUAAAAUGGAUUCGUAACCUGGAAAAUAAGGCAAGGUUUUGCUACAAGCAAAUGUCUAGAAAGAUGAAGAUUUAUGAAGGCUAAAGUAAAAAUGCAGAACAAAACUGCUAUAGAGGAUUGCCAUAGAGGGACUAAAUUAGACUAGAGACUGGAACUCCAUUAAUAACAUUUAAGAUUAACACUUUGCUACCAUGGAGGAAGGCAAACAACAUAAUACCUAACAUAGUACUCCCACAAGACGGGGUUGGGAGGGUGCAAUGUACACAAACCUUAUCCUACUUUUGUGGGGUUGAGGUGUUUCUAAUAGACCAUUGGCUUAGGAAAAUUAUUUUUCAGAACAGAUUUAAAAGAAAUGCAAGAGUAAAAAGUUGUAAUGAAACUAUUGAAGAAAGAAAGUAAAGGUAGUAAAAAUCUACUCUUUCAAUUUAGAACACACCACGUCCAAAUUUAAUUUUUGAACUUACAUAAAUCUACUCUAACUAUUUAACAUUACUCUUUUACGAAAAUUUCAGCAUACUCACUAUUAAAGAAACAACAAUAGGAAAACUUUUUUUUACCUACAAGGACUAAUUCUUAUUUCAGUGAUUGUGGCCAUAUAGUACCUUUGUCACACUUCACCUAACUUUUCUCAUAAUGUUGUCAUCAUCUUAAUUUUUUUUAGAGAUAACACAGCGAUAAACAGAGGGGCAGUGGCUUCAAAAUUUAUUAUUUUUUCCAUAGCCAUCAAUGUAGUAUUUGUUCAGAAUAAUUUUUGUACGACAAUGAAAGUAACCAGCAAAAAUAGUGGCAAAUAGCGUUUCUAGCAAACAGAACAGUCAAAAAACUUCAUAGACAGAGCAACCAUAACAACACAAAAAUGAUAAAUAAAAUUUUAAUCAAAGAGGUAACCUCAAAAAUGGCAUAAAUCAGGAAAGUAGUAGCACAAAACAUUAACCAUGUAAGCUAGGGAGGCAACAAAAAUCAAAUCAGAGAAAUUAUUCAGGGAGACGGUGAAAGAAGAAAUUGUACUACAAUAAUAGAGCCGAUUUGAUAGAGUAACACAAGAUUCAUACCCGAUUCAAUUUUUUCGACCAAAGAACAUCAAACGGAUGGUCACGAAUCGAAAAAUACAUCAAAGGCUUUGUAGAGGCUAAGUGAUAACAUAGCUUGUAGCUUCCUAUGGAAAACCAUGAUUUAUCCAGCUCGAAGAGAAAAUACUUCCCCAAAAUCAAAGCUAACUGGAUAUACAAAGGGUUUUCUUUUCUUUUUGUGUGCGUGGG